GUACGAUUCCCUCGGCGUCAGAGAGAGUAAUUUCCGUUUCACCCUGGUGCUCAGCCAUGAAUCGGCGGAGCUGAUCGGGUCUCAUGCGAGCCUCAGGAGAGCCAGCAUAGUUGGAGAAAGCUUCCUUUACGUCAGUGGAUCAAAAAGCUCACAACACCACAAAUUUAACAAUGUCACUAUCCCUCUCUCUCCCUCUUCCUCCUCUAAUUAUGGUAGACUUUUAUAGAGAGAAACCCAAGAAGAAAAAAAAGAGAGAUAACAAAAAGAAAGACUGAUAUGGUUCCUGCGAAUUUUUCACAACAAUGUGAUUGUAAAUCU